UAACUGAAGGAUUUUGAUGCCACCUAAUUUGGAUGCGUUGAGUUUGGAUGUAGUGCACCUUUUGUUUUCUGUAUGAGGCAUCUUUCCUUAGUUAUCUCUUGUUUAACCUAUUGUAAGUUGUAAUUCAUUACAAAUAAAAAGCUCUCUUUGGGUAUUACUCUAUAGAGCCAAUAGUUUCAUCAUAUCAAGAAUCAAUAUUAGUUUCUACCAUGUGAGCUGAAAUUUUGGCUAAAAAAGUUACAUGCUAAAAAAGUUAUACAUACAAAUUGAUUUAAAUCUAGGCAUGCCCAGCCUUAUCAGGUGUUGACUUUGGCUGGCUGCGUGGUAUGUGGAAAUGUAACCUUAUCUCGAUUCACAUGUGUCAAGCAUCUCAAUCAGUUUUUCUGUAUGGAAAUGGUUUCUUUAGGUGAGCCUCCCUAUAGAGGAAUCUCUAUGGAUCCAUUGGGCUCUUUUAUUUGCUGCUCAGUAGGUGCUCAAAUUAUCUGGAAUAGGUGGCCAAUUCAGUCUUGACUCAUGGUCCAUAUUUCUUAUAACCUUAUUAAAUCCAGUCUUAACAUAUGAUCUUUCAUUCCUAGUAGAUUCACAAAAAGGAAUUUCGGCAAUGCUAG